rnacentral:rRNA from 1 species
UACGUAGGGGGCGAGCGUUGUCCGGAUUUAUUGGGCGUAAAGAGCGUGUAGGCGGCCAGGUAGGUCUGCUGUGUAAACUCGAGGCUCAACCUCGAGACGUCGGCGGAAACCAUCUGGCUAGAGUCCGGAAGAGGAGAGUGGAAUUCCUGGUGUAGCGGUGAAAUGCGCAGAUAUCAGGAAGAACACCCGUGGCGAAGGCGGCUCUCUGGGACGGUACUGACGCUGAGGAGCGAAAGCGUGGGGAGCGAACAGG